UACGUAGGCAGCAAGCGUUGUUCGGAAUUACUGGGCGUAAAGAGUGUGUAGGCGGCCAGGUAGGUCUGCUGUGAAAACUCGAGGCUUAACCUCGAGCUGUCGGCGGAAACCAUCUGGCUAGAGUCCGGAAGAGGAGAAUGGAAUUCCCGGUGUAGCGGUGAAAUGCGCAGAUAUCGGGAAGAACACCCGUGGCGAAGGCGGUUCUCUGGGACGGUACUGGACGCUGAGACGCGAAAGCGUGGGGAGCGAACAGG
rnacentral:rRNA from 1 species